CCGGCAACGGUGAAACUCAAAGGAAUUGACGGCGGCCCGCGCAAGCGGAGGAACAUGUGGUUUAGUUCGAUGAUACGCGAGGAACCUUACCCGGGCUUAAAUUGCAAAUGAAUUAUGGGGAAACCCAUACGCCGCAAGGCAUUUGUGAAGGUGCUGCAUGGUUGUCGUCAGCUCGUGCCGUGAGGUGUCGGCUUAAGUGCCAUAACGAGCGCAACCCUUAUCUUCAGUUACUAACAGGUCAUGCUGAGGACUCUGGAGAGACUGCCGUCGUAAGAUGUGAGGAAGGUGGGGAUGACGUCAAAUCAGCACGGCCCUUACGUCCGGGGCUACACACGUGUUACAAUGGGGGGUACAGAAGGCCGCUACCUGGUGACAGGAUGCCAAUCCCAAAAACCUCUCUCAGUUCGGAUCGAAGUCUGCAACCCGACUUCGUGAAGCUGGAUUCGCUAGUAAUCGCGCAUCAGCCAUGGCGCGGUGAAUACGUUCCCAGGCCUUGUACACACCGCCCGUCAAGCCAUGAAAGCCGGGGGUACCUGAAGUACGUAACCGCAAGGAGCGUCCUAGGGUAAAAC
rnacentral:rRNA from 1 species